rnacentral:rRNA from 1 species
UACGAAGGGGGCAAGCGUUGUUCGGAAUUAUUGGGCGUAAAGGGCGCGUAGGCGGCUUUGCAAGUGACGGGUGAAAUCCCUCGGCUUAACCGAGGAACUGCCUGUCAAACUGCAUGGCUUGAGACCGGGAGAGGUGAGUGGAAUUCCCAGUGUAGCGGUGAAAUGCGCAGAUAUCAGGAAGAACACCCGUGGCGAAGGCGGCUCUCUGGGGACGGUACUGACGCUGAGGCACGAAAGCGUGGGGAGCAAACAGG